GACGAACGCUGGCGGCGUGCUUAACACAUGCAAGUCGAACGGAAAGGCCCUGCUUUUGUGGGGUGCUCGAGUGGCGAACGGGUGAGUAACACGUGAGUAACCUGCCCUUGACUUUGGGAUAACUUCAGGAAACUGGGGCUAAUACCGGAUAGGAGCUCCUGCUGCAUGGUGGGGGUUGGAAAGUUUCGGCGGUUGGGGAUGGACUCGCGGCUUAUCGGCUUGUUGGUGGGGUAGUGGCUUACCAAGGCUUUGACGGGUAGCCGGCCUGAGAGGGUGACCGGCGACAUUGGGACUGAGAUACGGCCCAGACUCCUACGGGAGGCAGCAGUGGGGAAUAUUGCACAAUGGGCGGAAGCCUGAUGCAGCAACGCCGCGUGCGGGAUGACGGCCUUCGGGUUGUAAACCGCUUUCGCCUGUGACGAAGCGUGAGUGACGGUAAUGGGUAAAGAAGCACCGGCUAACUACGUG
rnacentral:rRNA from 1 species